GGGGGCGAAAAUGCAAGUCGAACGAAGCUCAGGCCCCUGGAAUGGGACGCCGGGGAAAGGGGUUUCUUAAUUCAAGAGAGAGAAAAAAAGAGGGGAGAACACAUGGGGGAAAUUUUUCCCCUGGGGCUGGGGGGAGGAGAGGGGAACACGGGCGCAAACACGGACAAAAAAACUAGGAGCGUGAGGAGCGAGUAAAGAGGGAGGGUAAGCGGUAGCAAUGGGAUGGGGCCGCGGGGCGUAAGAAGGAGAGGGAGGGAACAGGGAGGAGGGGGAAGAGGCACAGACGAGACGAGAGAGGGAAAGGGGACACAGGGGGAGAGAGACGGGGAAAAAACUCAAGGGGGGGGCAGCAGGAGGGAAGCAUCAAGGGGGCGAAAGUGAGAAGGAACAACGGCGAGAGAGAAGAAGGGGGUGGGAGCGCGAAAACUGUGGUGAGAAAAAAGAGACGAGAGAGAACAAGGAGCGAGGAGAGGAGGGGAACGUGAAGAAGGAUUUCGGAUCGUUUUUAAUGUUGUUCGAGAAGAAAGAUCUGGUAGUAACUGUGUCUUGUUUUCCACGGUAUUUAACCAGAAAGCCACGGCUAACUACGUGCCAGCAGCCGCGGUAAUACGUAGGUGGCAAGCGUUGUCCGGAUUUAUUGGGCGUAAAGCGAGCGCAGGCGGAAUAUUAAGUCUGAUGUAAAGCCCUCGGCUCAACCGAGGAAGUGCAUCGGAAACUGGUAAACUUGAGUGCAGAAGAGGACAGUGGAACUCCAUGUGUAGCGGUGAAAUGCGUAGAUAUAUGGAAGAACACCAGUGGCGAAGGCUGAAACUCAAAGGAAUUGACGGGGGCCCGCACAAGCGGUGGAGCAUGUGGUUUAAUUCGAAGCUACGCGAAGAACCUUACCAGGUCUUGACAUACUAUGCCAAUCUAAGAGAUUAGGCGUUCCCUUCGGGGACAUGGAUACAGGUGGUGCAUGGCUGUCGUCAGCUCGUGUCGUGAGAUGUUGGGUUAAGUCCCGAACGAGCGCAACCCUUAUUAUCAGUUGCCAGCAUUAAGUUGGGCACUCUGAUGAGACUGCCGGUGACAAACCGGAGCAGCCGCGGUAAUACGUAGGUGGCAAGCGUUGUCCGGAUUAUUGGCGUAAAGCGAGCGCAGGCGGGUUUUUAAGUUUGAUGUGAAAGCCUUCGGCUCAACCGAAGAAGUGCAUCGGAAACUGUUUCUUGAGUGCAGAAGAGGACAGUGGAACUCCAUGUGUAGCGGUGAAAUGCGUAGAUAUAUGGAAGAACACCAGUGGCGAAGGCGGCUGUCUGGUCUGUAACUGACGCUGAGGCUCGAAAGCAUGGGUAGCAAACAGGAUUAGAUACCCUGGUAGUCCAUACCGUAAACGAUGAAUGCUAAGUGUUGGAGGGUUUCCGCCUUUCAGUGCUGCAGCUAACGCAUUAAGCACUCCGCCUGGGGAGUACGGCCGCAAGGCUGAAACUCAAAGGAAUUGACGGGGGCCCGCACAAGCGGUGGAGCAUGUGGUUUAAUUCGAAGCUACGCGAAGAACCUUACCAGGCUUGACAUACUAUGCCAUUCUAAGAGAUUAGANGUUCCCUUCGGGGACAUGGAUACAGGUGGUGCAUGGUUGUCGUCAGCUCGUGUCGUGAGAUGUUGGGUUAAGUCCCGCAACGAGCGCAACCCUUAUUAUCAGUUGCC
rnacentral:rRNA from 1 species